CGAGACAUUUUUGAGGCGCCAUAGAAACUCUUCUGAUUCAAUCUGUUGUUCAAUUUCAUUUAUUUAUCCGAUCUUAAACGGAAUUUGAAGAUUAUUUUCUGAUAUUUUCUGAAUUAUUGUUCGAUAAAUGGUCAGGUGAAAGCAGCUCACAGUGAUUCAAGAAAGCCAAGUUUCGUGUUAAACAUCCAAAUGACGAGCAGCAAUAGGAUAUGAUUUACAAAGACAUGGGAUACAAUAAAUGUGUAAAUGAAUUUGGAUUGUCCUGUAUUGUUUGUUGAUUUGCUGAUUUACAUUGGAUAUUAUUGCCGAUUCAAUGCAGUUUGGUGCUAAGAAAAAUCUACGGAAAUGGCCGGAAGUAACCCAAUUCCAGGUUGACAAGAUAACAAAUGUUGAAACAUGUUAAUCUGGUUAUAACAUGAAAUUGAUAGACUUUCAUUGUUUCCAAAUUAAAUAUCCGUUCCAUGUUAACCAAGCAAACACUAACAAUUGGUAAUCUUGGUUUAAUCCAGUUUCUCAAGACAUUUGGAUGGAUUGGAAAACUGUUGUUCAGUUGAUUGUUCAAUGAUAAAAGAGGAAAGGAAACAUUGGAAUAGCCUUAAGGCCUCUUCUCCUCGUUCAAGACCAAAAGAGGUGUUCACUAUGGAACAAAGACUAUGGACAGAGAAAAGAUGACCGUUUGAAAGAUGAAUAUUAGGUUAAGAUUAAACUUCCCUUGAGUCUAAUUAGGAAAAGAAGAAGAAAAGACAAUUAGAGAAUUUACCUGAAAGAAAUGGAAUCUAAAUCAACUAACGAUACUUAAUUAUCCCAAGUCUAUUUGGCCCUUUGCUUCUCACCCAUCAACAGACUAGAAAUGCAUCUCAAGCUGCUUCAAUUUCAAAGCACACAAAACAAAGUUAUAUGAUUCAACUGACAAGGAAAGGUGAAAAUAAUUUGAAUUUAAACUCAAUGGAAUGAAACCAAGACAAUUAGCCAAUGAACAUCUAUGAACAAUAAGAAAUUGAUUGAAUCACGGAUGUUAUUGAAAUAUUCAAUUGAUGAAAAGCAAGAUGGGAAUGACCACAAUCCAUUAUUGGCUUGGGUGGAAAGCGAAUCAAAGACGGUUGUAAUUAUACAAUAAUUAUUAUAUUACUGUUAACUUAAAGGUGGACAAUUUACACGGCAAUGGCAAUGUUAAACCUACAACAAUCAAUAGAUAUUUUACGAUGAUUCAACCCAGCUAAUUAACAGGUUAAAGCGCAAGUGGCAAUCAUUGAGAGAUAACAAUAACAGAUUUGAUGGAAACACCUAAACAACAAAUAAGAGAUUUCAAUGGAUCAAUGAAUUACCAACAAAAAGAUCCUGUUCAAGAACGUUAAUUAACAUUCACAAAGCUCAAUAUUGAUUGUGAUUGCAUCUUUUAUUCAUCUUCAACUGAAAAGAUGAGGACCACAAAAAUGGCUACAAAUAAUUGGUGUUGAGGUGACGCAUCAUAAUUAACUGAAUCACUGGUUGAAACUGGAAUGAAAGAGAGCACAAGAUAAGGUCAUCUUGGACAUAAGACGUUGACUUUGGCCACCAAUUUUGAUUACAAAGGCAAUUGUAACAUAAUCACAACAUUGAUCCACUAUGAAGGGCUUUACAAAUGUUUAAAAAAAGGUUAACUUGGCUGUUGGUAUCAAUUGAAUUGCGGAUAAUAGUGAUUAAAUGAUCAUAGCCAUGCAAUUGUUUGAAUGAUUGAGCUUGAUGUAAUUGCGUAUAUAAACCAAUUUAACUUUGAUUGUUCCCUUGAUUCAGUUAAAUGGUUAUUCAUCUCUAACCGUGACACAUUCCAAUGUCAAUCUAUUCAACUAAUAAUGAUAAUAAUGAUCAUCAGUUGAUGCUAAAUUAAGGAAACAAUGAAAGAAACAUUCAAGAAUCAUUUGAGAAUCGCAAAGGCAAAAAAAAUGAUGAAUCGUAAAAUUGAAUGAAUGUUGUCAUAUUGAAUGAACCAUUUGUUGCAAGAUUGAUUAACUUUUACUGAUUUAUGUAAUUGCAAAAUUGAGAGUAACUUCAAUUUUUUUCCCUGACUUUGAUCAAGUUUUCAUGAUAAAGUCUCACAGAAAAAAAGUGAAUCCAAUAAGUGUCUUUGAUUGUAGGAAAGUAGUUUUUUAUUCUGGUUUGACCUUAACCUUUCAAGUUGUUUGGUACUGAGAAGGAGUGAUUGGUCAAGAGAAUGAAAAAUAACACAAAAAGAUGUUUUUUUUUACUAACUUGCAUCUUCAUUUGUGGUCCUAAAGAUGAGGAUUAAGAGGAUGAAAAGACCACCCAGCAAUAGCUUAAUAAACCUUAUCGUUUGUUAGCGGCUUUUCAUCCUUGUUUGGGCAAAAUGGCCUCUGACAUUAAAAAAUAUGUUAUCAUAA